AAUGUGUCUCAGAUUGGUGU
rnacentral:miRNA from 12 species